AUUGAACGCUGGCGGCAUGCCUAACACAUGCAAGUCGAACGGGGCAGCAAUGCCUAGUGGCGGACGGGUGAGGAAUACGUAGGAAUCUGCCCUUAAGUGGGGGAUAACCAGGGGAAACCCUGACUAAUACCGCAUGAUCUCUUCGGAGCAAAGAGGGGGACCGCAAGGCCUCUCGCUUCUGGAUGAGCCUACGUCUGAUUAGCUAGUUGGUAGGGUAAAGACCUACCAAGGCGACGAUCAGCAACUGGUCUGAGAGGAUGAUCAGUCACACCGGAACUGAGACACGGUCCGGACUCCUACGGGAGGCAGCAGUGGGGAAUAUUGGACAAUGGGCGCAAGCCUGAUCCAGCAAUGCCGCGUGUGUGAAGAAGGCCUUCGGGUUGUAAAGCACUUUAGCCUGGAAAGAAAAAACUUUGGUUAACACCCAAAGUCUUGACGGUACCAGGAGAAUAAGCACCGGCUAACUCUGUGCCAGCAGCCGCCGUAAAAC
rnacentral:rRNA from 1 species